AUUGAACGCUGGCGGAAUGCUUUACACAUGCAAGUCGAACGGCAGCACGGGGGCAGCCCUGGUGGCGAGUGGCGAACGGGUGAGUAAUACAUCGGAACGUGCCCGGUCGUGGGGGAUAACGUAGCGAAAGUUACGCUAAUACCGCAUACGAUCUGAGGAUGAAAGCGGGGGACCUUCGGGCCUCGCGCGAUCGGAGCGGCCGAUGUCAGAUUAGGUAGUUGGUGGGGUAAAGGCCUACCAAGCCGACGAUCUGUAGCUGGUCUGAGAGGACGACCAGCCACACUGGGACUGAGACACGGCCCAGACUCCUACGGGAGGCAGCAGUGGGGAAUUUUGGACAAUGGGCGCAAGCCUGAUCCAGCCAUUCCGCGUGCAGGACGAAGGCCUUCGGGUUGUAAACUGCUUUUGUACGGAACGAAAAGGCUCUGGCUAAUACCUGGGGCUCCUGACGGUACCGUAAGAAUAAGCACCGGCUAACUACGUG
rnacentral:rRNA from 1 species